rnacentral:ncRNA from 2 species
GUGGCCAUGUGCGGGAGCUCGGACCUACCGGGCUGAGAGGGCGGCUGAUGGGCCGCCGACCGCUCGAACCUGACCGGGUAAUGCCGGCGUAGGGAGCGAUCAUGAGCAUGCU